CGGUCGGGCGGUCGGGCGUUUUGGGUCGCGAACUCGGUCAGGUUCGGAAGAAAGCAGCCGUAGCGAAAACCGAACGGGUCGAUCGUCUUCCAUCAAAG
rnacentral:SRP_RNA from 1 species